rnacentral:rRNA from 1 species
UACAGAGGGGGCAAGCGUUGUUCGGAAUUACUGGGCGUAAAGGGCGCGUAGGCGGCCUGCUAAGUCGAACGUGAAAUCCCUGGGCUCAACCCAGGAACUGCGUGUGAUACUGGAUGGCUUGAGUUUGGGAGAGGGAUGCGGAAUUCCAGGAGUAGCGGUGAAAUGCGUAGAUAUCUGGAGGAACACCGGUGGCGAAGGCGGCAUCCUGGACCAAUACUGACGCUGAGGAGCGAAAGCUAGGGGAGCAAACGGG